rnacentral:rRNA from 1 species
GACGAACGCUGGCGGCGUGCUUAACACAUGCAAGUCGAACGGAAAGGCCCUGCUUUUGUGGGGUGCUCGAGUGGCGAACGGGUGAGUAACACGUGAGUAACCUGCCCUUGACUUUGGGAUAACUUCAGGAAACUGGGGCUAAUACCGGAUAGGAGCUCCUGCUGCAUGGUGGGGGUUGGAAAGUUUCGGCGGUUGGGGAUGGACUCGCGGCUUAUCAGCUUGUUGGUGGGGUAGUGGCUUACCAAGGCUUUGACGGGUAGCCGGCCUGAGAGGGUGACCGGCCACAUUGGGACUAAGAUACGGCCCAGACUCCUACGGGAGGCAGCAGUGGGGAAUAUUGCACAAUGGGCGGAAGCCUGAUGCAGCAACGCCGCGUGCGUGAUGACGGCCUUCGGGUUGUAAACCGCUUUCGCCUGUGACGAAGCGUGAUUGACGGUAAUGGGUAAAGAAGCACCGGCUAACUACGUG